UCUGUUGGUAACAAGGCAUAGGGGCCUCUGC
rnacentral:piRNA from 1 species